rnacentral:lncRNA from 1 species
UCGCCUUUUUGACCAGACGCGCGCGCGCUCGCCCGCGCUCACCGUUUUUUCGGCGCCAGCGAGCGAAGGAAGGCAGCAGGCUCGUCGACGCGACGCCGGCUGGCGGUUGCUGCUAGUAGUCCCCGUCGGCGGUUUUUGGCAUCUGCGUCACGGCGCGUCACCCUACGUCGACUCGACGCCGGCGGCUUGAGCGAAGCGCGGGACACCUUCAACGGAGCUUCUACACAACUUCCCUGCAGAACCUUGUUCUGUAACAGAUUAGGAUAUCACAAGGUCACCGGCGGACGCGACCCCGGAGACGCAGGCCGGCGCGGCUGCUGACCACGACUCCCCGUGACGGACGACGCUCUUGACCCAGUGCUGCCGGUGCCGCUACGACGUGAGGAGGAAGGCUGACCGGUGCCCCCGCGAAGGUACACCGCCGCCCGUGAUCGCGUGGGACUGCUCCUCCCUGUCUUCGUC